rnacentral:rRNA from 1 species
UGCUGCAUGGCUGUCGUCAGCUCGUGCCGUGAGGUGUGGGUUAAGUCCGCAACGAGCGCAACCCCUAUUGCCAGUUGCUACCAGGUAAUGCUGGGCACUCUGGUGAGACUGCCCCGUUAACGGGGAGGAAGGUGGGGACGACGUCAAGUCAUCAUGGCCCUUACGCCUAGGGCUACACACGUACUACAAUGGCGCAUACAAAGGGCAGCGAUACCGCGAGGUGGAGCCAAUCCCAAAAAGUGCGUCCCAGUCCGGAUUGCAGUCUGCAACUCGACUGCAUGAAGUUGGAAUCGCUAGUAAUUCGAGAUCAGCAUGCUCGGGUGAAUGCGUUCCCGGGCCUU